GACGAACGCUGGCGGCGUGCCUAACACAUGCCAGUCGAACGGAAAGGCCCGGAUUUUGUGGGGUGCUCGAGUGGCGCAGGGGUGAGUAACACGCGAGUAACCUGCCCUUGACUUUGGGAUAACUUCAGGAAACUCGGGCUCAUACCGGAUAGGAGCUCCUGCUCCAUGGUGGGGGUUGGAAAGUUUCGGCCGUUGGGGAUGGACUCGCGGCUUAUCCGCUUGUUGGGCGGGUAGUGGCUUACCAAGGCUUUGACGGGUAGCCGGCCUGAGAGCGUGACCAGCCACACUGAGACUGAGAUACGGCCCAGACUCCUACGUGAGGCAGCGGUCGGGAAUAGUGCACAAGGAGCGGAAGUCUGAUGCAGCAACGCAGCGCACGGGAGGACGGCCUGCGGGUUGUGAGCCGCGUUCGCCUGUAACGAGGAGUGUGUGACGGUAAUGGGUAAAGAAGCAACGGCUAACUACGUG
rnacentral:rRNA from 1 species